GUCUAGAGGCUAUGUAACAUUGGCAUCAUCAUAUAGCCAGCAGGUGGCUAUACUAUUAACCAUGCUCUAAGUGAAGUGUAAAUAUUUUCUAACACGGGCCUUUUGUUUGACCAAACACGUAUUGUUUAUCAUUUUUACCGUCAUCCACGGGUUUCUGUUUUCUACACGACAAGCCAAGGUGUAAUCUAGCGAAAGUAAACACCGUCGACAUCCACCUUCUUUUUCUAAAUUAUAUGCUUUUUGACAAAGGAUGGAUUUUUUUUAUUAGCUCAAAAUGAAGCAUCAAGAAGAUACAAAACACAAUGAGCACACACCCGGUCUCUGCAUAGUUAGAAUGCACACAGCCGAUACCAACUUACACACACGAGAAAAAACACGCCGACAAUUAGCAAAGUCAUAUAAGACCAAAGCCAUGCGUAGGCGUGGAAAAUAAAAGAAAAAGCCCAAGACGAUCAGAUCUGCGAUUGGCAAACUACAACAACAACCAUAUUCGCACCAAUCAUUUCAUGACGCCACAUGGACGACGAGGUUCUUCAACAGCAACGCCUUCAGGAAGGGAGUGACACUCAAGCGCCGCCGUCAUCGGAUCCAACCGAAGGCUAGAAUCUAGGUUUUCACCCUGAAAAAUCAGUUUGAGCAUAUCAAAGCAAUGCCUUUAACAAGGUCACGACGACGUAAAAAACAUCGCCAAUGCCAGGUAUAGCCACUCGGGUUUGACCUAGGCUUUCGCCCUGGAGCUCAAGACCGGGUGCUCGCAGCACCACCAUCGUAGUCAUGCAUGUGUUGUCGCCACUACUUUUCCGCGAUCUCGGCAGCUACAUGCGAGGCCGCCGUCACUGCACCACCAUCCCUCUGCGUCAAGCCGUCGUUCAUAAUUUGUAUCUCAUCACUGAAGUCAUCAACCGGAUCAGAAGAGAUGACCCUCCAGAAGUUCUUUCGAUGACCACGCCAUCUUGGAACUGUAGGAAGUCGCUGCAGUAUAUGCAGUCAUCACCAUCCGGCCGAUUAGAUCUGGAUCACCACCACCAAGCCGUGGAUCGCAGCGCCGACGGCCAGCCACCACACGCGGGCAUCGUUGGCUAGCCGGCGCAAGGGGUCUCCAGCAAUCGGCCGGAUAAUGCGGUCGAUCCCCAACCCAGCUAGGGGUGGACGCGGUCCGGGCCGGUCCGGUCCCUGACCGAGCCCUGCUUUGGACCGGCCGCGGCCGGUCCGGUCCGGACCGGACCGAAGUGGCGGGCGGUUCAUAUUUUCAGGACCGGACCGGCUGCAGCAAAGCUCGGUCAAGACCGAGAGGACCGACUGGACCGACUGAAUUUGUAUCCUGGGAGUGCGCUGGGAGGAUUUUUGGCUCUGUUUAGCCACUGUUUAGUCAUCCUUUUAUAUUUUGUAAAGUAAAUGGACCAAGAAUACAGCAUAUAUGAGACUAAUUUUGAACAUUUAGAAUGCUUGUUUCAAAAGAGGAUGGAAUCGACAAUAAAUAAGCAAGUUAUGCUAUAGAUUUACCAUGACAAGCUGAAGAAUGGAUGAAAAAUGAUGUAAGAAAAUUUUGGAAUUCAGUACUAACUGCUAACAAUGGUGUAUUCAACACUCAAUAGAUCAGUACGAACUGCUAACAAUUCAGUACUAAUUGUUGAAAAUUUUGGCACUGAAUACCUCGGUCAGAGAUGGGAUAAUGCAGAGGAGAGGACAGAGGAGAUCGAACAGGUGCAGGGGAGACGGCGUGCAGGUGCAGGCACAUCCUCCCCCUCCUCCAGCUUCGUGGUCAUCUCUUAUCGACAGCAGCGAGCCGGCGAGGAGGUGGUCGACGGCGGACAGGUGGAGACGGCGGCGGUCGACCCUCAACUCGACGGCAGGCAGCUGCACGCGCUGCGCUCCCUCCUCUUCUCCUCUUUCCCUCCAGUACUGCGGCUUCGUGGUCUACGGCGAGGUGGUUGACGACGGCAGCACCAGGAGGUGGUCGACGACGGAAGCCGGCGGAGGCGGCGCUCGACCGCUCGGGGUCGGGGGAGGGGAAUGGACGGGGUUGCGUACUUGAACUCUCUGCUUUGCCUUUAUUGCCGUCUG
rnacentral:lncRNA from 1 species